UGGGGAAUAUUGCACAAUGGGCGCAAGCCUGAUGCAGCCAUGCCGCGUGUGUGAAGAAGGCCUUCGGGUUGUAAAGCACUUUCAGUCAGGAGGAAAGGGUGCGUUUUAAUAGAGCGUAUCUGUGACGUUACUGACAGAAGAAGCACCGGCUAACUCCGUGCCAGCAGCCGCGGUAAUACGGAGGGUGCGAGCGUUAAUCGGAAUUACUGGGCGUAAAGCGUACGCAGGCGGUUUGUUAAGCGAGAUGUGAAAGCCCCGGGCUCAACCUGGGAACUGCAUUUCGAACUGGCAAACUAGAGUGUGAUAGAGGGUGGUAGAAUUUCAGGUGUAGCGGUGAAAUGCGUAGAGAUCUGAAGGAAUACCGAUGGCGAAGGCAGCCACCUGGGUCAACACUGACGCUCAUGUACGAAAGCGUGGGGAGCAAACGGG
rnacentral:rRNA from 1 species